UUUUUGCUGGAGAUUCCUGCAUGCCUGAAGUCUCUAAUGAUUCUUUAACAAUGUAAAGGAGGUAUCUUUCAUCUGAUUCCUAAGUGAAUAAGAAACUUGAAGGAAACAGGAGGGUAGCAACAAGGCAUCUUCUUGAAUCUCUCAUUUUCCUGAACAAGUGCAAUGAUGAGAGAUCUUGUUGGACACAGAAGAGAAGAGAGACAAUAUUUGUCUGAGACCUGUCUGAAGGAGGCAUUGAUUUCCCUGCUCACAGCACGCUCACCAGCCACAGUACGAGCGCCUCAUCUUUUAAUCUCCAAUAUGAAAGGAACAACAGAGGUCACUGUGGACUUGUAUUGUUGAAAGUGAUUACUGGCAGACCUGAGAUGGUGUGCAACAAGGCCAGCUUGCUCUUCAUUUAAGAUUAUAUAUAUAUUUAUUUCUCUCUGCUUUCCCCCACACCUCAGCUGGGGAACCACAUGGUCAUGAGUCCAGGGAGAGCUAAUUAAAGUGACUUGUUCCUUUUAAAUAAGCCUGCUAGCACCUUGGUGCGAAGCCAAAGCAGGUAUCAUUUUACUAUACAUACUUUUAAAAUGAUUGUAUUGUCCUUUUCUUUCUCUAGAGCAAAAUUUAUCCUCCUAUUUCUGUUCCUCCUUACCUCUGUCUUUAAUUACUGUUUAUUGGAGACAUUGGACUCACUACCAUGUAGACCUGAACAACAAAGUAGUGGAGGAUCAGGUGGGGAGCCUGUAAUAGCAAAUGCCAUGACUUUUCUACCUCAGGUAUUUUACGGUAGUAUCCACAAUUAGAAAUUGUUUGCAUCUGAAAGACCUUCCACUAACAGCCAGGCAAUUCAGAUUUAAAGAAGAAAAAUAUCUUUUGCAGAGAGUAGGACAUAUCUUCUGUUUACUAGCCCAAGAAUUUGUUUUUUUUUUCCUUCAGUUUUGCUACCUUUUUGUCUUCCAUUAAACUCGGUUCAAGAUACAAGUUGGAC
ensembl:lncRNA